rnacentral:rRNA from 1 species
UACGUAGGGGGCAAGCGUUGUCCGGAAUCAUUGGGCGUAAAGCGCGUGUAGGCGGCCCGGUAAGUCCGCUGUGAAAGUCGGGGGCUCAACCCUCGGAUGCCGGUGGAUACUGUCGGGCUAGAGUGCGGGAGAGGCGAGUGGAAUUCCCGGUGUAGCAGUGAAAUGCGUAGAGAUCGGGAGGAACAUCUGUGGGCGAAGGCGGCCAUCUGGGACCAGCACUGACACUGAGGCACGAAAGCGUGGGGAGCAAACAGG